rnacentral:tRNA from 1 species
GGAAGGGUGGCCGAGUGGUCUAUGGCGACGGUCUUGAAAACCGUUAUCCCGCAUCUGCGGGAUCGAGGGUUCGAAUCCCUCCCCUUCCG